rnacentral:rRNA from 1 species
UACAGAGGGUGCAAGCGUUGCUCGGAAUUACUGGGCGUAAAGCGCACGUAGGCGGAUUUGUUAGUCAGGGGUGAAAUCCCGGGGCUCAACCUCGGAACUGCCUUUGAUACUGCAAGUCUCGAGUCCGAUAGAGGUGGGUGGAAUUCCUAGUGUAGAGGUGAAAUUCGUAGAUAUUAGGAAGAACACCGGUGGCGAAGGCGGCCCACUGGAUCGGUACUGACGCUGAGGUGCGAAAGCGUGGGGAGCAAACAGG